rnacentral:rRNA from 1 species
GAUCCUGGCUCAGAUUGAACGCUGGCGGAAUGCUUUACACAUGCAAGUCGAACGGUAGAGGGGGCAACCCCUCGAGAGUGGCGAACGGGUGAGUAAUAUAUCGGAACGUGCCCAGUCGUGGGGGAUAACGUAGCGAAAGUUACGCUAAUACCGCAUACGAUCUACGGAUGAAAGCGGGGGGACUCGUAAGAGCCUCGCGCGAUUGGAGCGGCCGAUAUCAGAUUAGGUAGUUGGUGAGGUAAAGGCUCACCAAGCCAACGAUCUGUAGCUGGUCUGAGAGGACGACCAGCCACACUGGAACUGAGACACGGUCCAGACUCCUACGGGAGGCAGCAGUGGGGAAUUUUGGACAAUGGACGCAAGUCUGAUCCAGCCAUUCCGCGUGCAGGAUGAAGGCCCUCGGGUUGUAAACUGCUUUUGUACGGAACGAAAAGGUCUCUCUUAAUACGGGGGGCUCAUGACGGUACCGUAAGAAUAAGCACCGGCUAACUACGUG